CGCCAUCGCUUUCUUCCUAUUCACCCCUCCGCCCACCCUCACUGUGUCCAGCGGCAGCAUCACGUACACCGGCACCCCUCGCGGCUUCACUGCCGCCGUCGGGUGCUCCAGCACCGCAGACUCCGGCGCAGCCUCCGGCGGCGCCGCAUCAGCCACCAGCGCCCUGCACGCCGCACUCAGAUCCGGCCGGAUCGCCGGGGAUCGGCAGGGGCUGACGGGCGGCGACAGCACGUCGAGGUCGGGAGGGCCGGAGGCACGGAUCCGGCAGCGGAGCUCCGAGACCGGCGCCGGUAGCGGCCGCCAGGCCUCGCCGGCCGGUGCUGCGCCGGCAGUGUCUCCGAUCGGGGCGCCGCAGAGGGAGCCGAGCUGGUGAGCAAUGUUCAUCUUCAGUGCCAUGAAUUGUGAGUUUUCUCUACUUUAAUUUGUGGGAUUUUGAUUUCGAAUUUG
rnacentral:misc_RNA from 1 species